GGACGAGAAAAUAUAAUGAAAAGGUGCAUCUAACCUCACCCUACUAAAUAUUAUCUUGUUAUUAUAGCCUAAAAAUCAGAGUAUUAUAUUCGCAAAAUUUAAUCGGCUUUAUUAUGAUCUAGCGAGCAUUCCAAAUUAGCACCUUACUAUUUCGCAUUUUUUACCUGUACAAAAAAAUUAAAAAAUAGUGUUUAACCAACUUUUUUUAAAACAACAGUAAUCGGCUUUGACGCGCGUCUUAUAAACUCGUGAUAAUACUGUCGAAUAAUUCUGUAACAUUUUUCUGAUUAUCAUUAAAUCUUCCUCCCAACUAUCUAUUUGUUUAAAGUCAGUAUAAAUUUUAGUUCAAAUGCACAUUUUCCACACCGAGCUGAUAUAGCCAACAUUUCGUUCAAAACAUUGCGACACAUUUCAUAGGAUAUUUCCAAUAAAUACAGACGUUUAUUCAUUUAUAACUGUUAACAUCGUGCAAUAUUAUUUGCUUCCUAAGAUAACUGUUUAUGACAACUUAUACAAGGUUUUUAUGCACCAAUAUUUAGAGAUCCAAAAUUCAACAAAAACAAGCAACAAACUCAAAAAGGAUAUAAGAGGUCGAACCCUGACCGCAACUUCGACUCGCGUUGGUGUUCCGACCCGGCGGGACUUCUGUUGUUCAUGCGACCUUACCAGCAAGCGCGUCGCAUUGGACUUUGCCAUCCACACAACAAACUUUUAAGUCGAUGCUUCGUAUAUUCAAAUAUGUUGGGUAACCUUUUCAUAGCAGUGGUUCUUCUUUUCUUAUCCGGUGUCGUGUAAAAUUAUACGGAAUGUGUCAUCGCAGAAAUUUUUACAUAAUAAUGUUUUAAUGAAAUAUAUGCAGCGUAUAUAGUCUACUGUAAGUUGAUAACUCACACUUGUUUGCUAGGUUGAUUAAAUUUGACGUUUGCUAUUGCAAUUGAAUGAGGUAAAUAAGACAUAUAGUAGGGUGGGGUAAGUUGGGACAGUUAUUAUGUUAUUCAAAUUUACACAAAUGUUUUUUAUUCAAAUUUACAAAGAUUCAUAACUGUUCCUUCUUACUCCGUCUGUUUGUUUAUCGUUAAAAUUCCACUUGGCGUACGAAUCGCUAAAUACCUUUACGUGUCUUUUAAUAUAUUUCUUUGCCGUGUUGUCAAUUAAUAAUUGUACAUACGGUAGCCUAGUACAAAUUUCAUGGUAUGACACAAAAAGGUCAUGUAUAAGCAUCCAGUCUUGCCCCACCUUACUAGAUGACCGACACUCCGAACAACCCAUCAGAAAAUCCUGGGUUGGAGCAAUAAAAGUUCAGACUCCUACUGAACGACACAUCAGUACAUAAUAGUCAAAGCGAUGAGCCUGGAACCCCCAUCAAACGUAAACUUCAAUAUCUUUAAUUCUCCACUGAUGAUUUCAUGCUGAUUAAAUUUGUCUGAGACAACAUCCAUUUAUCACCAAAGAAACCAAACUUUACAAGUACACUACAAAACAGCACAGCGCGUUUAUUAUACUAACACAUCUAUUAUAGUGAAACUGCGCUUGCACAAUCGUCUUCAGUAUCCAGUUACACACAUAAAAGUGCCCGACAUAUAAGCGGUGCGGCCAGUUGCGCAAUACAUCAUUAACGAAGCAGGCAUGGAAGAAAA